rnacentral:rRNA from 1 species
AACGAACGCUGGCGGCAGGCUUAACACAUGCAAGUCGAACGCCCCGCAAGGGGAGUGGCAGACGGGUGAGUAACGCGUGGGAACGUGCCCUUCGCUUCGGAAUAGCCCCGGGAAACUGGGAGUAAUACCGGAUACGCCGUAUUGGGAAAGAUUUUAUCGGCGAAGGAUCGGCCCGCGUUAGAUUAGCUAGUUGGCGGUGUAAUGGACCACCAAGGCUACGAUCUAUAGCUGGUCUGAGAGGAUGAUCAGCCACACUGGGACUGAGACACGGCCCAGACUCCUACGGGAGGCAGCAGUGGGAAUCUUGGACAAUGGGCGAAAGCCUGAUCCAGCCAUGCCGCGUGAGUGAAGAAGGCCUUAGGGUGUAAAACUCUUUCGCCGGAGAAGAUAAUGACGGUAUCCGGAGAAGAAGCCCCGGCUAACUUCGUGCCAGCAGCCGCGGUAAU